GUUGGAGUGCAGUGGCGCGAUCUUGGCUCACUGCAACCGCCACUUCCCAGGUUCAAGUGGUUCUCCUGCCUCAGCCUCCUGAGUACCUGAAAUUACAGGCGCCCGCCACCACGCCAGUCUCAAUACCUUCACAGAGGUGAAGAAGCAGCAACCAAAUGAAUUAGACAGCAACAUGAUUCCUAGAGAAUGGCAAGACCAAUUCUUCAACUACUUCUUCAGCAUUUCUGAAACAUAUGGAAGAUGGCCCAUUGUGCUCUCUUAAUUCUUUGAUAAUCUGGACAUUGACUUUUCCAUUAUAUGACCUGGGCUUGUGGGCAUCAUGUCAUAAUGCACCUGUUCAGACAUCUCCCUGUACCAAUAUGGAUCACUUGAAGAGACUCCUUUGCCCCCAUCAAAAAGGAUACAGUUGUGUAUCUCUUCCAUUUUUGUUUACAGUGCCUAAAAUUAUUUGAGCAGUUUUUCACCUCUUCUCUGAUAAACACCUUAUUAGUCCUUAAAAAGAAAAGAAAAAAGGAAAAUAAAACUUUUAUUGAGAUCCUA
rnacentral:lncRNA from 1 species